GGUAAAGAGACAGCAGCCGCCGCGGGAAUACAGAGGGUGCGAGCGUUAAUCGGAUUUACUGGGCGUAAAGCGUGCGUAGGCGGCUUCUUAAGUCGGAUGUGAAAUCCCUGAGCUUAACUUAGGAAUUGCAUUCGAUACUGGGAAGCUAGAGUAUGGGAGAGGAUGGUAGAAUUCCAGGUGUAGCGGUGAAAUGCGUAGAGAUCUGGAGGAAUACCGAUGGCGAAGGCAGCCAUCUGGCCUAAUACUGACGCUGAGGUACGAAAGCAUGGGGAGCAAACAGGAUUAGAUACCCCUGUAGUCCCUGUCUCUUAUAC
rnacentral:rRNA from 1 species